rnacentral:rRNA from 1 species
UCAAGAAACUUCCACAAUGGGCGAAAGCCUGAUGGAGCGACGUCGCGUGAUGGACGAAGUGCUUCGGCACGUAAACAUCUUUUAUGUGGGAUGAAAUUAUUGACAGUACCACAUGAAUAAGGGGCUCCUAACUCUGUGCCAGCAGGAGCGGUAAUACAGAGGCCCCAAGCGUUAUCCGGAAUCACUGGGCGUAAAGGGUGUCGAGGCGGUUGUAUUAGUCGUUCGUAAAAUCUACGAGCUUAACUUGUAGGCGGCGAACGAAACGGUACGACUUGAGGUUUGGAGAGGUGCGUGGAACUCACGGUGUAGGGGUGAAAUCCGGUUGAUAUCGUGGGGAACACCAAAGGCGAAGGCAGCGCACUGGCCAAAAUCUGACGCUCACACACGAAAGCUAGGGUAGCGAAGAGGAUUAGAUACCCCGGUAGUCCCUGAGCGGGCUGGCAAGGCGCAU